CCCCCCAAAACCUGGAUUUACCCUGGUCCAAGAUCUCAUGUCCUGUUGGCCCAAGGACAUAUCUCCUGCCCCCAAAAAGCAUCAAAACCCCAAAGCUUUUGGAUUCUGGGGCCUACACCUGAGUCAAAUACACCCCAGACUUGCGGUGGUGGGAACUCAUGCACUUACUAACGUGGCUUUGAUUUCCCUCUUCAUUUGUGGCAUCUAGAGGUUUCCCCUUCUUUCAAGCUUGGAUAUGCAUUUCUAAAGUAUAUCUGAAAAUACUUUAUUCAGUAUUUUAUGUGUUCAGAAAGGGAUGGAAUGUCUGUAUCAGCUUUGUUGGCUAUGUGGCUAGAAAUGAACCCUUAUUUUCUUUUGUAAUUUUAUUGAUGCACACACAUCACAGAUCCAAAUUCUUCUUCAAUAAACUAAUGAUAAUGCUUACAUAGGCCCUGUAAUUUUCAAAGGUGUUUCAUAUGCUUUGUCUCACUCAACCCGUAGAAAAACCCGCGGAGUAGGUACUUUAGAUGUGUUAUCAUCCCUAACAGAUGAAGGGAACAGAGCCUGGGUAUGUGAAUCCUCUGAGAUCACACACUUGGAAAGUGAAAGGGCCAGUCUCACACGGAACUGCCUGCUCCUCUCCUCUCCACUACGCCACCUGGAUUGAGCUGAAAUAAUUCGGCAUAUUUCCCCAAAUCCAUGGCUGCACAUCCUCAGAUGAGAAAGCUUGUUUCUCAAAUUGUGUCUGCCCUAGAAUGGAGGGAAAAAAUGAAAAGAAUUCUCCAAUGUGGCACAUCCCGGAAUAGCCACACCAGGAUGAUGACAUCUGGUGGAAAUAAGUUACAGACUCGCAGGACACAAUCACAGAACUGGACCACUUGGGGAAUGAGAAAGCAUGACAAUGACAGACUUGGGAAAGACUCCAGGUCACCUCCCUUCAUUGAAGAGAGUGGGAAAGAAGACCUAAUAGUCAUGGGACCACCGCACAUUCGGAUGAAGAUCCUGAUUUAAAAGAGACAGGCGUAAAGCAAAAAAAAGUGACAGCAGAGAAGAAAGUACCCAAGUUGGGUAAAAAAAUGAAAAUAGGCUCUUACAUCUACUCAAACUAAACCACCAUUGGUUCAGUCCACUGGUUAAACAGAGUCCCUCAUAAAUGUGACUAAUUGUUUAAUUCCCAUUUACCUAAGGCUCAAUUUACACGCCUUAUGUUCUAUUUGAAGGGUUUCUAGGCUCCCCAAAUAAGCACAUGAUUUCCCUCCUCCCUUUUUAACUCUGUCUUUUUUCAAUUACAUAAAUGACAAUGACUUGCUUUUUUCUUAGAAGAGUUUUUCUGAUUUCCUAAUCACGGCUGCCCCAACUAAACACCCCUUAUCCGACUUGAAGCCUCUGACUCACGCCCCUUCUGGUGGGUAGCCGUUCUCUUGUCCUCCUCUUGGCAGUCUUCCGUGAUUUCUGCUGCUAGAAGCAGACUUUAGGGCAGAGCCCACAGCUGCCACGCCCCUUUCUUCAGCCACAGGAGUUUGGCUAAUGAGCACAAAGUCUGCAGGUCCAUACAAAACGCCAACUAUCCAACUCCUACUUCUUUUGAAAGUGAAAUAUAAAUCUACAUUUUAAACUACAUCACAGCAACUGGAUACCAUAGAGGACAGCCUCUGUUCUGCUGGAGUAAUUUUCUGAAUCUUUUGAGGGUGAUUCCAUUUCACGUUGCAAGGAUUGUGUUUGUGUAUGUAAGAGAGAGAGAGAGAAAAUUGAGAAUUGAGAAAGAGAGAAAGAGAGAAAGAGAGAGGAAAUACCAGCAAAGUAAUGUGUCUGAAUACUGGUGGAUAAUGCUACCCUAAAUAACUUGGACUCCCACUGGCUGGCUUUUGUUCAUAAAAUGCUAAUCCUUUCAGGUGCAGAUCUAUAUAAAACAUUGGGGAUUAAAGUGUGCACAGAAAUCUCAAUCUCUUCCGCUACAUAAGGUAAAGAUAUAUUUAAACUAACAGUUCAAUAUUAUCUUGAGGUUACUAACAAGGAGUCAUUUUAAAAACUCCCCAAUUCUUUAGUAAAUACUGACAUAAGCUAUAUAACACAUGAUGUGUGCAACUAAUGAUGAACACUAGGUAGAUUACUGUAGUUAUUUUCUAGGUUGCUUUUCAAUGCACAGCUGUCUUUGGGAAAAUGUUACUUUCUCAUGUCAACUAUAAUGGUGGGGGAGGGAGGCAAUUCAUUUCAGGAGGGAAAGUGCCACCUGAUGUUUGACUGAAAAUGAUUCUUUCCUUGCGGGCAAAAUGAAGAAACGUCUUAAAUUUAAUGUGCAGAGUGGUGCUGGAUGGAAGUCCUGCAGAGUGCUGUAGUGCAGAAUAUCUCUAGCUUCUUGAGAUGAUGGUGGUUGAGACUGCAUGUGUGAGAGGCUUUGUGUAGAUUACUUCUCAAUUCCUACACCCACCAUGUGAGGCAGGUCUCACCAUUAUCUACCUUCGCAACAAAGAUUGUACAUGGCAGAGCCAAGAUUCAAGAUUCAAGUGCCGGCCCACAUCACAGCUCUGAGCCUUCUGCACUGAAGAUGCUCUGCGUCUUCAUAAACAACCAGUCUGUUGUGUAUUAGCGGGAACAAUUAACUUCCUGGAGUUGUAGGAAGGUGCAAGUAAUUAUCUACAAGAGAAAAACUUCUCCUGCAAAGCACAGACAGGUAGAGCAUGCUUGGCUGGUUGAUGAGUUGGAGAAUUGGAGUAAAUAUUUGACUACUUGAUUCCAGAGCCAGUGAAAAUGCUAACUUACUUUCACAGCAAAGGCAUUUGUUUGAAGUCCUGUGGCACAUUAAUGUGAGGGACACACAACCUCUCCAGGUGCGGAAUGGGAUUGUGUUGGCUGUGGGGCUGGCACUCUUCCUUGAGUCUUGUCCGUUUGCUCGGUGGAGUGAGUCAACGCCCAGUGGCUGGAUUUCCUGUUGGUUUUUAGGUCAGCUGGCUAGUAGUGGCGUGUCUGAUGUGUUUAGCUACUAUCCUCAGUGGGCUGAAACAAUAAGAUGAGGCGACGCUGCAUGUGGAGAAUAAACUCAGGAGGGUACACGGAAAUAAGGAAAAU
rnacentral:lncRNA from 1 species